rnacentral:rRNA from 1 species
GUCCACGCCGUAAACGAUGUCGACUAGUCGUAGGAUUCAUUAAAAGAAUUUUGUGACGCAGCUAACGCGUUAAGUCGACCGCCUGGGGAGUACGGCCGCAAGGUUAAAACUCAAAUGAAUUGACGGGGGCCCGCACAAGCGGUGGAGCAUGUGGUUUAAUUCGAUGCAACGCGAAGAACCUUACCUACCCUUGACAUCCUGCAAAUUUUCCAGAGAUGGAUUAGUGCCUUCGGGAGUGCAGUGACAGGUGCUGCAUGGCU